UAGCGUAAUCAUUUGUCUUUUAAAUAGAGACCUGUAUGAAUGGCAUAACGAGGGUUUAACUGUCUCCCUCCCCCAGUCAAUGAAAUUGAUCUGCCCGUGCAGAAGCGGACAUAAACACAUAAGACGAGAAGACCCUAUGGAGCUUUAGACAAAAGAUCAAACAUGUAAAGAAACCAAACCAACCAAAAGGAACACAAAAGCCACAAAACCCAACGUAAAAUGAUCAAAAUGUCUUCGGUUGGGGCGACCAUGGGGGAAAGAAAAGCCCCCACGAGGAACUAAGGGCAAUCCAUUAAGCCAAGAGAUACACCUCUAAGCAACAGAAAAUCUGACCAAAAAUGACCCAGGACACUAAUCCUGAUCAACGAACCAAGUUACCCUAGGGAUAACAGCGCAAUCCUUUCCCAGAGUCCACAUCGACGAAAGGGUUUACGACCUCGAUGUUGGAUCAGGACAUCCUAAUGGUGCAGCCGCUAUUAAGGGUUCGUUUGUUCAACGAUUAA
rnacentral:rRNA from 1 species